rnacentral:rRNA from 1 species
ACUGAACGCUGGCGGCAGGCCUAACACAUGCAAGUCGAGCGGAUGAAGGGAGCUUGCUCCUGGAUUCAGCGGCGGACGGGUGAGUAAUGCCUAGGAAUCUGCCUGGUAGUGGGGGAUAACGUCCGGAAACGGGCGCUAAUACCGCAUACGUCCUGAGGGAGAAAGUGGGGGAUCUUCGGACCUCACGCUAUCAGAUGAGCCUAGGUCGGAUUAGCUAGUUGGUGGGGUAAAGGCCUACCAAGGCGACGAUCCGUAACUGGUCUGAGAGGAUGAUCAGUCACACUGGAACUGAGACACGGUCCAGACUCCUACGGGAGGCAGCAGUGGGGAAUAUUGGACAAUGGGCGAAAGCCUGAUCCAGCCAUGCCGCGUGUGUGAAGAAGGUCUUCGGAUUGUAAAGCACUUUAAGUUGGGAGGAAGGGCAGUAAGUUAAUACCUUGCUGUUUUGACGUUACCAACAGAAUAAGCACCGGCUAACUUCAUG